CCGCACAAAUACAGCUUGGACGGACGAAGUGCACGCAGAUUAUAAACAAUGUGUUGGCAGUGCACUUCAUAGAAGACUUAUUGAUGGAUAUUGGAUCAUCGAAAUAUAAUAUGGGUUACGAAGACACAAUGAAUGCUGUCAUACCU